AUUGAACGCUGGCGGCAUGCCUUACACAUGCAAGUCGAACGGCAGCGGGGACUUCGGUCCGCCGGCGAGUGGCGAACGGGUGAGUAAUGUAUCGGAACGUACCAUUCAGUGGGGGAUAACUAUCCGAAAGGAUAGCUAAUACCGCAUAUUCUGUGAGCAGGAAAGCAGGGGAUCGCAAGACCUUGCGCUGAUUGAGCGGCCGAUAUCAGAUCAGCUAGUUGGUGAGGUAACGGCUCACAAAGGCUACGAUCUGUAGCGGGUCUGAGAGGAUGAUCCGCCACACUGGGACUGAGACACGGCCCAGACUCCUACGGGAGGCAGCAGUGGGGAAUUUUGGACAAUGGGCGCAAGCCUGAUCCAGCCAUGCCGCGUGAGUGAAGAAGGCCUUCGGGUUGUAAAGCUCUUUCGGCCGGGAAGAAAUCGCAUCAGCUAAUACCUGGUGUGGAUGACGGUACCGGAAUGAGAAGCACCGGCUAACUACGUGCCAGCAGCCGCGGUAAUAC
rnacentral:rRNA from 1 species